UCUCACAGCCAACCUGUUGCAUGAUGAAGGGGUUCAAGCUAUAGCUGGUGCAAUCAAGUCUAAUCAAGGUCUCACCUCUCUGCAUCUCCAGUGGAACUUCAUCAAGUCCUCCGCCACUAAAGCUCUGGCUCAUGCUCUCCUCUCCAACGCCACAAUGCAGCUCUUGGAUCUUCAGGAGAAUGCUAUUGGGAAUGAAGGCGUCAUUUUCCUUGCCGAAGCUCUGAAGACCAACACGUCCCUGCAUACAUUAUGGUUAUGUACAAUGACUAAUCAGUAUUUUAGUAUUAACCCUUUGAAACCUGAGCAAAAUUUACUUUCUAAAAUUUCGAAAGAAGGCAAUGAGCAAGAGAAGAAGA